CACCACUGCAAGAGGGGAAGUUGCUACUGUGAUGAAUUCUGCCAUGUGGCACCAGACUGCCACCCAGACCACAGUGUCCUCUGCAACCCUGGUCAAAGGUGCCUACAUGCUCCUUCUAGCUUUGUUUCCCUGAUGUUCCUUGCCACCUGCUACUCCUCUCUGAGCUACUUUUCCAGCCUCCCAGGAAUGCCAUUCACCAUGGCUGUGAGGAGAAUAAAGAAGAGAGCCUGACUCCUCUCCUGAGGCCCCUUCCCCACCCUGAGCCAGCAGGAUCCACGGAGCAGAGGUCAUCUGUCCCCAGCUUGGCCCACUGAGGCCAGCAUGGCUGGGCCCAGGAUGCUUGUCUCUCAGCUCCCAUCCUGUGUACUUCCACAUUGGUUUAACCAGAGGAAAACCGAAAUCUACAAUUGUCAUAAACACAUUUAAAUGUGCGUAGAAUCAGCCAUACAAAUUGUGAAACAUA
rnacentral:misc_RNA from 1 species